GGGUGGUGACUGUGGGGAAGGAUCCCCUCGAGUGCUGGAGGGAGGUGACCCUGUGGCUGUUGUGCUGGGUGCCAUGUUGUCCUGGUAAAGCUGGCUCCCCAAGUCCAACCCUUGGCACAGAGGGCCCAGCAGCUCGCCUCCGCAACCAGCACAAAUCUAGAGGAACUCUGCUUGGCUCCGAGUGAGACAGGCUGGGACCUGAGAUCUCUGCCAGAGUGCCUGCACCUGGACAAACGUCUCCUUAAGCAACAGGAUACAAAACAGCCACAAGGCACAGGUGCAGAGAUGAAGGACUGUGUAUGACCCUUGCAGACGGCCCUCCACAAAGGGCGGAUCCUUGCACCAGGCACCCUCAGAGGGCUGGAGAGCCCACCCAAACUACACCUCCAACCAAGCUCCCACGCCUACCCUCACCCUAUUUAAGGGACCAGCUAGCUCUCUGGAGAAAAAGAGCAAGAGCACCUGCUUCCUAUUGCUGCCUCCGUGUGCUGUAGCUUAAGCCCUAGCAAGUCCUUGCCCGAAAUCCAUGUGGCCUCAUCAAUUUCUAUUGAUUAAAGGGUCCAAGCGUCCAGGUCCGUAACACUAGGACCUGAGCCCUCGCCCUGGUCUCUGCCUGGAGGAAAAAGGCAGAGCCCUUCCAUCCUGGUUAGCUCACCUUGCCAAAACAUGAGGGAUUUUCACAUGUGACCGUAGCCCAUCACCUCCAGAACUGAUACCCAGGAGGGUCUCCUUUAGAGAAUAAUUGGAAACACACCCAUCUCAGACUGGGGCCUUUAGUUGGCAACUGAGUCUCUGUAGGGAGCAUCUGACCUUUUACAGCACUGAUGAUUUAGGGUAGGGAUUUCCAGCAACCAGCAGCAACAUUACUGUUAGCACUGGUUUCUUCCCACAGAGACUGAGUAGUAUGGAGAGAAAGUUAGUAUGCCAUUCACAGCUCCAAGACAUUGAAUAGGGAUGCAAAUUGUUCCCACCAUCCUAUCCUCCUUGUCGCCAAUUGUGUUGAGAAGAACACACUGGUAUAUUGAAUUAAGAAUGCUAUGCUAUGCUAUGCUGAGUCACUUCAGUCGUGUCCGACUCUGUGCGACCCCAUAGAUGGCAGCCCACCAGGCUCCCCCGUCCCUGGGGUUCUCCAGGCAAGAACACUGGAGUGGGUUGCCAUUUCCUUCUCCAAUGCAUGAAAGUGAAAAGUGAAAGUGAAGUUGCUCAGUCGUGUCCGACUCUUAGCG
ensembl:lncRNA